GCAGUGUAGGGUAUUGUGUCUGCUAAAGAUGGCGCUGAGUAAAACAUUCGGUCAGAAGCCGAUAAAAUUCCAGCUCGAAGAAGAUGGCGAUUUUUACAUGAUAGGUUCAGAGGUUGGAAAUUACCUGCGUAUGUUCAGAGGGUCGCUGUACAAAAGGUACCCGUCGUUGUGGCGCAGACUUGCAUCAGUAGAGGAAAGGAAAAAAAUCGCAGCGUCCUCACACGCCACCAGUGUGACUUUGCUGAAGGCGUCUGAGUGCGAAGAGAUCUUCGAGGGGAAUGAUGAGAAGUACAAGGCCGUGUCCAUCAGCACAGAACCUCCAGCUUACCUCAGGGAGCAGAAGGCCAAGAGGAACAGUCAGUGGGUCCCCACGCUGCCCAACAGUUCCCACCACUUGGACGCUGUACCUUGCUCCACCACAAUCAACCGAAACCGCAUGGGACGAGACAAGAAAAGGACCUUCCCCCUGUGUUUCGAUGACCACGACCCAGCAGUGAUCCACGAAAAUGCAUCGCAGACAGAGGUUCUGGUUCCAAUCCGAUUGGACAUGGAGAUCGACGGCCAGAAGCUCAGAGACGCCUUCACCUGGAACAUGAACGAGAAGCUCAUGACGCCAGAGAUGUUUGCAGAAAUACUGUGUGACGAUUUGGACCUAAACCCGUUGACAUUCGUCCCAGCCAUCGCCUCUGCCAUCCGGCAGCAGAUAGAGUCCUACCCUACCGACAGCAUCCUGGACGAACAGACUGAUCAGAGAGUCAUCAUCAAGCUGAACAUCCAUGUGGGAAACAUUUCCCUGGUGGACCAGUUUGAAUGGGACAUGUCAGAGAAGGAGAACUCUCCAGAAACGUUCGCACUGAAGCUUUGCUCUGAGCUCGGCCUCGGAGGAGAGUUUGUCACCACCAUCGCCUACAGCAUUCGUGGCCAGCUCAGCUGGCAUCAGAGGACGUACGCCUUCAGGUCUGAUUUCAGGUCAAUAUACUUCAAAAUUUCUUGACCUUCUCUCCCUCCUUACCCUCACGUUUACCCCCACUUCCACCUUCAUGCCCUGGGAAGCUGAGUACCCUCAUCUCUUCUUUUUUUUUUUUUUUUUUUUUAUAAUUCAUUUUUUUAACUUGAUUUUUUGCAGGGUUCAUUCCUAAAAGUUGCUAUGCAACAGUAAAUUAGUUUUAUUAUUAUUAUUAUUAAUAUAUAUAUAUUUUUUACUAUUACCAGGACACCAGUGCAAAAUGGUGGAUAUUUUUUUUCUUUUUUUUAUAAAGUUAAUUAUGAGAUAUAUUUACAAUCAAUUAACUUAAGUAACACUGACGUUUUGUUUCACUGAUUCAUUAUGUCCACUGCAUGCCCUAAAGUCAUAUUGUUAAUGAAAUAUUUUAGUAGAUUGAUAUUUUGUGCAUGAACUAAAUAAAAACAUUUCCUUAAAGUAGAAAUUGUAAAUAAUAAUUAAUAAUACAAUCAUUUAAAGGCAUCUCUGCAGAUUUCCUUCACCACUAUGCCUUAAGGGUGACCAGUGGAAAUGUCAUUUCUCUCCAACAUGCAGUCAUGAUCUGGCACAUCUGUCUGGUCUGCUGACCUCCUGUGACCUCAAUAUCGUAUUUUUUCUUUAGUGAGAACCCCUUGCCGACAGUAGAGAUCGCCAUUCGGAACACAGGUGACGCCGAUCAGUGGUGCCCCCUGCUGGAAACGCUGACAGACGCAGAAAUGGAAAAGAAGAUCAGAGAUCAGGACAGAAACACAAGGCGCAUGCGACGACUCGCCAACACGGCCCCUGCCUGGUAGAGAGAGAGAAAGAGAGAAACGCUAUGAUAAGCUGAAGGCAUCAGAGCUGCUGGAUCUGCCUCUCAUCACUGGGACAUUUCUGACUUUGUGCUAAGGCGUACUGUGUAUUUCACUUGCUUUUUUUUUUUUUUUUUUUUUUUAAUAAAAUAAAC